rnacentral:rRNA from 1 species
UACGUAGGGGGCAAGCGUUGUCCGGAAUCAUUGGGCGUAAAGAGCGCGCAGGCGGCUUGGCAAGUCGGGUGUGAAAUCCCGGGGCUCAACCCCGUGACUGCAUCCGAUACUGUCAGGCUAGAGGUAGGUAGGGGAGAUCGGAAUUCCUGGUGUAGCGGUGAAAUGCGCAGAUAUCAGGAGGAACACCGGUGGCGAAGGCGGAUCUCUGGGCCUUACCUGACGCUCAGGCGCGAAAGCUAGGGGAGCGAACAGG